AUGUUGACGGGCCGUCCUGAAGAGGAGAUGCCCGCGUCUGCAGGUGAUUUAUUGCUAUACCUCUCACAGUUGCAUGAGCGAGCUCGGCAGGUGAUGCAGGGUAUUGCCGGGGCCUUGUGUCCAUCCAUGUCCCUGCCAAAAGGCAUGGAGGAGCUCGUGGAUAUGCUCCAAGGAGCGCGGCGGCGCUUCCGUUUGUGGAAGAUGUCAGCCUACCGACAAGGUGCAAGGGAAGCCUGGGCCAUGGUGAAGACACGCUACACCAAGCUUGACCCGAACCAUAUGGCCGAAGUCGGACCGGCGGGGCCAGAUGGGCAAGAUUGCAAGCUAGAUAGCCUGGUGUAUGACCAGGUAGCAUUAGCCGCAAAGUAUUCCCAACAGGAUUGCAAGCUAGAUAGCCUGUUGGAAGGUAUAGAGGAAGAAUAUAGUCAGUCCAAGUGA
rnacentral:rRNA from 1 species